CCAGGAUCCUAGCCCCUCCUCUUCUGAAGUGCCGCGGUGGCGGGGAGGGGAGCCCCAUUGCUGGCCCAGCAGCCCCCUCCCCUUCCUCCCAUGGCCUGGCCAAUCCCUUCCCAGAUCCCAGGGAUCCUCCUCCUCCCAAGGGGCUUUUCCUCUUGCCAAGGACACAUACUUCGAGGCUUUCUCAUCUCACAGUGGGAGAACAUUCCUGGUUCAAUGACUCUGGGGAGGAGCCAAGGGGAGGACCUCUGCUUCCUGGGGAUCAUUGUGGGGAAUGACUCUGGGCUCCCCUCCCUGAGUCAGGCAGCUGGAAGGACCUUGGAGAUUUUGCAGGCUGGUUCACCGUGGCCAGAGAUGGAAGGUUCUUGCUGAAGGUCACUCGGGAAGCAAGGAGUGGACCAGGUAGGAUAGAAGCAUUAGUCUUUGAGGGAGGGGCGGGAGAGUGGGGGACAGGAGGCGGGCAGGCUCCCCACUCUGGAAUCUGCUGUCCCAGGGUUGUUUGGGAAGAAAGGCUGUGCCCCUCCCCCUUGCCCACAGUCAUUCCCACAGGGACCCUGACUGCUUCUUGUGAGUUCAAGAGGUCCUGGGGUCUUGGGUCCAUGAGGUGGAGGUGACUCACAGUAAGGGAAGCUGCUGACCACCCACCAAAGGAGGAGUGAGGAUGUGGAGGGAGACAGUGCCAGGCCGAGGUGACAUCCUGUCAACUGUCUCAUGUGGAGGUGCUUCCCAGCUCUGGAAGGUCACCGAGUGACUGCAGCAAAGGCAGCUUCUGCUUUAGCUCAAGCUCUGGCUUAGCUGACAGUUCAUGAGCUUUUUGGUACUUUAGCCUUUCUUCUGCGGGUGUAGGCAUCGAAUGCCCACAGAACUGCGGGGACAACCGCCCUGUAAAAAGCAGCCAUUGUGACAGAUCAAUAUAGGGAUCAACUGUGAUAGGCUGCCCACCUCCUGCCCGAUCGGGGCUGGACUUGGGUGAAGAAUGACAUGUGGAUAUUUUGGAUGUAACUCCCAUGAGAAUUUGUUUUGCUUGGCUCUGUCCAAUGGUUUUCUUUUUCUUUUUCCUUUUUCAAUGCUAGGAUGAAGUGGGGGGGCAGUGUGUGUGAAAAAGUAUAUUUUUGUUCAUUAAAAAAUAAAAUUUACCUUUUUUGAAAAGAAAUAAAUAGC
rnacentral:lncRNA from 1 species